AGUUGGUACAUGUUUACCACAUGAAGCCAUCAUUCUAUGUGCAUGCUAAAGUUGGCCAUUUUUUCGUGAAUGAAUUCUUUCGUCUCGAGUUGCCAUCUACAAACCAACGUUGUUAUAUUUUGAUGGACCGUUCUCUAUAUUGUUUCCUAACAUGCUUCUUUUUGUUGGCGAUGCUUAUAAUUUCAGAGAUAAGUUCAAGCACAGGAGAGAAGACAAAGUCAUGCAAAUAUUUGAGCAGAACAUAUAAAGGCUUGUGCUUCUUUAAUAGAAACUGUGAUAUCAUUUGCAAGGCUGAAGGUGCUAUGAGUGGUGGUCGAUGCCAAGCCUUCACCUUGCGUUGUUUGUGUAAUGGUUGUGAUCCUGACUAGCUCUUAAAUUGAACGGAUUAACUUAUAACUUGAGAUUUGCAUGAUCUAGAUUGUAUGUACAGAUAGAAUAAAGAAGAUCGCCAGCUCAAGCUUGAUCGGCUUCAGUCGUGCCAUUUGAGGCAUGAUAAUUUUUAUGGUGUGGUCCUAUCUCUCAAGCUACAUCGACCACCUUGAAAGGGCGGCUCAUGAAGGGGUUGAAAUGUUAAAGGCGAAGAUUCUUAAACUACUCGGUGGAGUGUGGAACCAUACCACAUAGUUUAACACCAGUUUCAACCAAAUGGGACCAUGGGUAUACCCCCGAGUGGAAAUGGGGUGUGAAAAGCGUCACAUAGGCACCGCAUCAUUCCACAAAUGGGGCUGUGGUGUUUCACUUUCUAUUCCUGUGGAAACUACCACGUGUCUACACUUGAUUGCUCCACGCCAUGUCUUGAAUCAAUCACCUCUUCCACGCCAAAUCUCUACCCCCAUGGAAAUCUCCACGCCAUGUCCACGCGAAGGGUUGCGUAGUGUUCCACGCCAUUGAAGCCAGCCACCUCAUAUCCAAGCCUCUUCCACACCACCUCACAGCCUUACUCUCUUACAUGCACUGCUGUGUUUGCACUUGUCACUAGAAAAGAUUUUGAAAUCUAGAAAGUAACAAAACUAUAGCUUUUGUUAAGAAUAUGAUUAAUCUAGACCACAAUAUUAAAUUUAAAACACAUUUAUUGGCUCCUUGAGGUAGUUUUGUUUAAACCCUCAUGCCACUUUAUCAUAAGUUUGUUUGUACAGAAAAAGUGUGUACAAUGCAAUGCAAUGCAGUGGCUGUUAUUGUUUUCUGUUUCAAGAUAAAGGAGGCAUGCAACAUCAUAACAUGGGCCAAUGAAGAUAAAAGUUGUAUUGAGUCUUUACAAGAAAGAUGCAAUGACAAUAAUAAUAAUGCACACAUGGGUGAGGGGCCAACUCUGUAAAAGCUAACAAGUUCUUGGAAAAUUGAAGGGCCAAUCAUGAUGGAUGGAAAAGGGGAAACCACAUCAAUGCAUCAACUACUUGUACCUUAACCCACAAAUCAAUUCCAUUAAAGUUUCAAGAUUUUCCAAACCCAUGUCAGAAAUCACAAAGUUGUACAAUAAAAGGUGCAGUAGGAUGCUUGUACGGUACAAUUAGCAAUGGAAUUGUGAUGUCAAGAUGA